rnacentral:rRNA from 1 species
CAGUCGCCACGGGAAUACGGAGGGUGCAAGCGUUAUUCGGAUUUAUUGGGUUUAAAGGGUCCGUAGGCGGACUUAUAAGUCAGUGGUGAAAGCCUGUCGCUUAACGAUAGAACUGCCAUUGAUACUGUAAGUCUUGAGUAUAUUUGAGGUAGCUGGAAUAAGUAGUGUAGCGGUGAAAUGCAUAGAUAUUACUUAGAACACCAAUUGCGAAGGCAGGUUACCAAGAUAUAACUGACGCUGAGGGACGAAAGCGUGGGUAGCGAAUAGGAUUAGAUACCCCUGUAGUCCCUGUCUCUUAUAC